UUUUGAAGGUGAAAAGUGUAACAAGGUUUCCGUAGGUGAACCUGCGGAAGGAUCAUUACCACACCUAAAAAUCUUUCCACGUGAACCGUAUCAACCCCCUUCGUUGGGGGCCUGCUCUGGGCGGCGGCUGCCGAUGUCAAAGUCGGCGGCUGCUGCUGCGUGGCGGGCCCUAUCACUGGCGAGCGUUUGGGUCCCUCUCGGGGGAACUGAGCUAGUAGCCCCUAUUUUAAACCCAUUCUGUAAUACUGAACAUACUGUGGGGACGAAAGUCUCUGCUUUUAACUAGAUAGCAACUUUCAGCAGUGGAUGUCUAGGCUCGCACAUCGAUGAAGAACGCUGCGAACUGCGAUACGUAAUGCGAAUUGCAGGAUUCAGUGAGUCAUCGAAAUUUUGAACGCAUAUUGCACUUCCGGGUUAGUCCUGGGAGUAUGCCUGUAUCAGUGUCCGUACAUCAAACUUGGCUCUCUUCCUUCCGUGUAGUCGGUGGAUGGAGGCGCCAGACGUGAGGUGUCUUGCGGGCGGCCUUCGGGCUGUCUGUGAGUCCCUUGAAAUGUACUGAACUGUACUUCUCUUUGCUCGAAAAGCGUGACGUUGCUGGUUGUGGAGGCUGCCUGUAUGGCCAGUCGGCGACCGGUUUGUCUGCUGCGGCGUUUAAUGGAGGAGUGUUCGAUUCGCGGUAUGGUUGGCUUCGGCUGAACAAAGCGCUUAUUGGAUGUUCUUCCUGCUGUGGCGGUACGGAUCGGUGAACCGUAGCUGUGCAAGGCUUGGCGUUUGAACCGGCGGUGUUGUGGCGAAGUAGAGUGGCGGCUUCGGCUGUCGAGGGUCGAUCCAUUUGGGAACUCUGUGUCUUUUCUUGCGGCGCACGUUUGUGUGGUUGCGGGGGAUGGCAUCUCAAUUGGACCUGAUAUCAGGCAAGAUUACCCGCUGAA
rnacentral:rRNA from 1 species